UCCUUGCACACAUGCAUAAAUUUGUUUCAAGUCUGACAGUAGCAGCUGGAGCGCCAAAGUCAUUCGCAGCGAGCCCCUGCCACCCGCCACCGUUGCCUGGAAAAUUGCCGCCUAUGUUCUCCUGUGGUGCUGCUGAUGCUCCUGCUCUAUGUGACAAGACGUGCUUCUGGCUUUGGCAUGCUGUGAAAAAUACUAUUAUGCACCCAAUGAAUGGGUACUGUUGGUUUGCUAUCCAAAUUUUGACAAUAUCAAGACUGGCCAAAAUUGGCACCUUUUUGUGAGGUUGGCAGAAUUUUUUUUGGCAAUCAACCAAUCACUAGCCAAUAUUUGGCAAGCCUGUAACCAACCAAUCACUAGCCAAAUAAAUAUUGGCAUGGGGGGUAUCGCGUGUGUUAAGGGAUUUGGCCUGCUUUAAACAAACACGUACAGAGUUUGUAAUAGAAGCUUAAUAGGCACCUCUAGUGGUCAUGAAAGAACCAAAAAGAUUUAGACAACAUUGGCACAUGAUGCAUAUGCCUUACCAGAAAAUUUAGAAUCCAAACUCGAUCAAUACACCAAGAAAUAAGAAAAGACAACCCCACUAUGAGUAGUACCCGGAAGCCACUAUUCACAGUAAAAUUGAAUUCACUACUAUUUCUGACUUGAUUUGGUCUUGAAAUUUCUUGCUGCGGUAGACACCUGACAUGCCAGUGUUGUAAAAAAUUGCAGAACUUUUCAUGACAAUUGGAGAUGGUUAAGUGUGUCUUAUUGCACUAGCACAUCUCAUGUGCCUAGAGCACGCAAUAUCCCCUUGUUCAGUCGUAUACUUCAGAAAUAUAUCUUUCUUGCUCCUAUUCUAUCCCUUUAUAUGGCAGGAGUAGAUUUAUAAAUUGUGACUAUCAAAUAGGUUUGAAAUUGAAUACAGUGUCUUUGUUAGUUCAAUAUAAUCUGAAACUUGUACUUACUAUAUUUAUUCUCUUUAUAUUCCAUUUGGUGUUCAGAGUAAAGACUAGUUAUUCCUUGCAUUCUUAGUGCGAAAUUUCUUUGUGGGUACUAAUACUGGAGUUCUCUUAAAAUCAUAUACGCCGCAAUGAUGUGGUCAGUGUCGAGUCAUACUCCCUCUGUUCCAAGUUACUUGAAGUUUUAGCUUUGUCCUAAGUCAAGCUUUUUAAACUUUGAACAAGUAUAUAAAAAAUAUGCUAAUAUCUACAACAUAAAAAUGUAUAUUGUAUGAAAACAUAAUUUAUGAAAAAUCUAAUGAAACUAAUUUGGUAUUGUAAAUUUGAUAUAUCUUUUUGCAGACUUAAAGAUGUUUUGACAUAGCAAAGCUAGAACUUCAAAUAAUUUGGAACAGAGGGAGUACUUGUCAAGCAUUAAUGUUUGUUCUCUUUCGAGAAAACUGAUAUUUUUGAUAUUGAUCUGCAUUUGGUAGCCCUUGUAUAAUACUAAUUUUGGUUUCAUGAAAUGACCGAAGCUUCAUUUGUGACAUGUCUUGCAAACAAAUCCUUAUUUAGUUUUCUGACAUUAACAGAGUGAUCUCUUUUGUUGUUGGUUCAUGAUGACACAUGCAUCUGGGCAUCUUAUUACAGCUACCGACUUCCUGUGUGACUUCUUCUUAUGUAAAAGACAAAAUCACAUCUAAAUAAUGUGCCAUCUGUUCUAUCUGUAUAUUCAAGCACUUUCAGACUCAUGCAAUACUUGUCAUGGAGGGCUGUGGAUUUGUUGUGACCAUGUGUUCUAGACUUUCUAGACGACAAUAUCAGUGUUAGCAUGAAGCCCAUAUAUUGGAGUCCAAUAAAACCAUGUUCCAUCAUCUAUCAACCAUUCAACUUUGAGGCAUUAGAGUUUUAUCAACAAUGCUUGAGGGCCAAACACCAGAAGAAGAGAACUAGGUGUAGCCAAGGACAACUUGCCGGCUAACUCUUAAGGCUCAACGAACUCCCAACACCAGGAGCCGGCAAGUCAUCCUUGGCUGCAUCCCGUUCUCUGCCUCGUAGCGUAUGGCAGCCCAGCAGAAGCCUCCCCAGUAUAUGCUCUACAGGUACUUCUGGGCUCUUGCCCCUUCUUCCUCUUCCCCUACCCUGACUGCUUUGCUAUCAUGUGGAAUGGUCUGCUGGUGUGCAUUGCCGCAGGGUGGGAUGGUCUUCAUUUAUAGGCACGAGCAAGUUGGAUGUGAAAUAAUAUGGAGAUAGCUGCCCAAUGAGUUAUAUACUGCAAAAUAUUUCACCACAAAGUCUUCCGUUUUGGGGAUGAGACAUGAUGAGUCACCAAUUGGUUAUCCUGGGUCCGAUGUCCAUUUUAAAUAAGCAUAGUGGCCCAUGGCCAUGAGGGUUCGGCAUCUUUUGGAUUGGUUGGUUGAGAGGAUUAGCAUUUGAUCUGUGCUGCAUGUGGAGCUUGUGGACAUGCGGUGGACGUGGUGCGCAACUCUUGACCUAAGCAAAUUUUAUAGAGUUCUUUGUAGUCCAUUCCCAAACAUUUUAGAAUUACAAAAGCUUGUCAAGUACUACCUCUAGUAUUGGACAAUUAUAAACCCAUGGAUAGUAAACAUUCUCCCUUCGUUCUAUUAAAAGGCAUCCUCAAUAUAUGCUAGUAGGACCAUUUUCACCAUGAUUUUGUUCACUAUAUUGAGAAUUUUAAUGCUCAACUAACAACCAAAUUCUGAAAAAAAAAAUGGUAUGCAGUGAUCUUCAGUUUGAUUCUUGGAAGGACCAGCCUAGCUGUCCUUGUAAAAAGGUAGGUUAAAACUUAUUUUGCAGACAUGCAUGUGCCUCUUAGGACUGAAAGUAGACUGGAGCAUUUUGCCCAUCCUGCAUAAGAAUCUGGUAAUCACUCUAGAAAAAUAUGUUGUACUCCGUUCCUAAAUAUAAGCCCUUUUAAAGAUUCUAUAAUAUGGACCACAUACGAAACAAAAUGAGUGAAUCUACACUCUAAAAUACAUAUGCCGGUGUGUCCUGUUUUUUUAUUUUGUGGGCUUGUUGAGUUGUGCCCUCAGCAGAUCCUCUGUACUUUGUUGUGAGACCUGGGUGUGUGUAUGGACUUGACUCUGUAUGUGUGCUCGUUGGCGGUUUAAUUUAUUUAUAAAGCGGGGUGAUAGCCUUUUUCGGUAAAUACAUACGUAUGUAGUCCGUUUUAAAAUCUCUAGAAGGGCUUAUAUUUAGAAACGGAUGGAAUAUGAAGCAGUUGCAUGCUUCUAUUGGUUACAUCAAUUUUCUAAUUAGAAAUGUUUGCUCUUAAUUUAUGUUAAAAACUGUUAGAGAUAUAUUUGGGUUACUUGUAUUUGGUAGUCUAGGAUUUGUAAUCCUUCUCCUACCUUAUCUUCAGGAGAGGCUUCUUGCCCUUCAAGUUUUGUACUCAAUAUAUACUCGCCCUCGAGGCUCAAUAAUACAUGCAUCAUAUUCCGCCAAUCCCUCUCUCCCUUGGAACAAAAACUUUCAAUUCUCACAAAAAU